UCCUUAGUGGUUCAGUGGCUAAGACUCUGUACUCCCAACACAGAGGACCUGGGUUCAAUUCCUGGUCAGAGAA
rnacentral:tRNA from 1 species